AUUGAACGCUGGCGGCAGGCCUAACACAUGCAAGUCGAACGAGUGGCGGACGGGUGAGUAAUGUCUGGGAAACUGCCCGAUGGAGGGGGAUAAAUACUGGAAACGGUAGCUAAUACCGCGUACCAUAGGAUGUGCCCAGAUGGGAUUAGCUUGUAGGUGAGGUAACGGCUCACCUAGGCGACGAUCCCUUGCUGGUCUGAGAGGAUGCCCGGCCACACUGGGACGGAGACACGGUCCAUACUCCGACGGGCGGCAGCAGUGGGGAAUAUGGGACAAUUGUCGAAAGCCUGAUGGCGCCACGCCGCGUGUAUGAAGAAGUCCUUCGGUUUGUAUAGUUCUUUCAGCGGGGAGGCGUUACCCGCAGAAGAAGCAACGGCUAACUCCGUGACAGCAGCCGCGGUAAUUC
rnacentral:rRNA from 1 species